rnacentral:misc_RNA from 1 species
GAUGAAGAACGUAGUGAAAUGCGAUACUUGGUGUGAAUUGCAGAAUCCCGCGAAUCAUCGAGUCUUUGAACGCAAGUUGCGCCCGAAGCCAUUUGGUCGAGGGCACGUCUGCCUGGGUGUCACGCAUCGUUGCCCCCAACCCCAUUGCUUCGCCAAGAGACGAGGGCGGUUUGUGGGGCGGACAUUGGCCUCCCGUGAGCUUUUGAUUGUGGCUGGCCUAAAAGGGAGUCCUCGGCGACGAGCGCCACGACAAUCGGUGGUUGACAAACCCUCGUGUCCCGUCGUGCGUGCCUUGUCGCUCAUCUCGUGCUCUGUGACCCUAUAGUGUUGCGCUUGCGACUCUUCCAAGGCGACCCCAGGUCAGGCGGGACUACCCGCUGAAUUUAAGCAUAUCAAUAAGCGGAGGA